rnacentral:tRNA from 1 species
GCGGCCAUAGUUUAGUGGUAAAACGGCACGUUGCCAACGUACAGAUGAGGGUUCGAUUCCCUCUGGCCGCA